GAUGAACGCUGGCGGCGUGCCUAAUACAUGCAAGUCGAGCGAACAGACGAGGAGCUUGCUCCUCUGACGUUAGCGGCGUACGGGUGAGUAACACGUGGAUAACCUACCUAUAAGACUGGGAUAACUUCGUGAAACCGGAGCUAAUACCGGAUAAUAUAUUCAACCGCAUGGUUCAAUAGUGAAAGACGGUUUUGCUGUCCCUUAUAGAUGGAUCCGCGCCGCAUUAGCUAGUUGGUAAGGUAACGGCUUACCAAGGCAACGAUGCGUAGCCGACCUGAGAGGGUGAUCGGCAACACUGGAACGGAGACACGGUCCAGAAUCCUACGGGAGGCAGCAGUAGGGAAUCUUCCGCAAUGGGCGAAAGCCUGACGGAGCAACGCCGCGUGAGUGAUGAAGGUCUUCGGAUCGUAAAACUCUGUUAUUAGGGAAGAACAAAUGUGUAAGUAACUAUGCACGUCUUGACGGUACCUAAACAGAAAGCCACGGCUAACUACGUG
rnacentral:rRNA from 1 species